GUUGUUGCAAUCAAAAUCCUGCUCAGUAUGAGAGGAACUGCAGGUUCAGACCUUUGGUGUAUGUGCUUGGCUGAGGAGCCAGUGGGGCAAAGCUACCAUCUGUGGGAUUAUGACUGGAUUAUGACUAAAUCAGAAUCCCCUCUAAACAUAAAUAAU
rnacentral:rRNA from 1 species